rnacentral:sRNA from 1 species
CAGAGCUCCCAUUGACCACGGGUUGGAACAGCUGGAGACAUGAGCCUUUGUGGUAGAAACCCAGCCCUGCAUGCCCCAAACUCCCCAUCGACCCCUCAUCCUCAAGACUGGCAGCAAGUUCACCGUCCGAACAAGGCUGCUGGUGAGACUCCAGGAAGGCAAUGAGUCACUGACUGUGGAAGUCUCCAUUGACAGGAAUCCUCCUCAAUUACAAGGGUAGGUGCUUGACAAGGACACUGCAAACAUCCGUACAGUGUAUGACCUGCAGAACCACAUUCGGCAGCCCUGGUGGCACAAACAAGGAGGAGGGGGAUUUGGGAUAUGGACAAAGGGAGAUGGCGAGAUCUGAAAUGAAGUGGAACUUCUGUUUUUUUUUCUGCUGAGUUUUUAGAAUAAUUCCAUUCCUUGUCUCCAUGUAUCUUCUUCCUCCUGGAACAGCUUCCGGAAGUUCAACAUUCUGACUUCAAACCAGAAAACUUUGACCCCCGAGAAGGGGCAGAGUCAGGGUUUGAUUUGGGACUUUGGUUACCUGACUCUGGUGGAGCAACGUUCAGGUGGUUCAGGAAAGGGCAGCAAUAAGGUGAGGUCUGGACAGAGGACUCGGGGGCAGGGGGAGCUUGCCAAAGAGCCUUCUGAUGACUAUGUCUUUGGCUGUCCCAGGGGCCACUA